GAUCCUGGCUCAGGAUGAACGCUAGCUACAGGCUUAACACAUGCAAGUCGAGGGGCAGCAUGGUCUUAGCUUGCUAAGGCUGAUGGCGACCGGCGCACGGGUGAGUAACGCGUAUCCAACCUGCCCAUCACUUGGGAAUAACCUUGCGAAAGUAAGACUAAUGCCCAAUGACAUCCCACGAAGGCAUCCGAAUGGGAUUAAAGAUUUAUCGGUGAUGGAUGGGGAUGCG
rnacentral:rRNA from 1 species